rnacentral:rRNA from 1 species
AAAGGCGGGCGGGGUGCUUACACAUGCAAGUCGACGGGAUCCAUCGGGCUUUGCUUGGUGGUGAGAGUGGCGAACGGGUGAGUAAUGCGUGACCGACCUGCCCCAUGCACCGGAAUAGCUCCUGGAAACGGGUGGUAAUGCCGGAUGCUCCAUCACACCGCAUGGUGUGUUGGGAAAGCCUUUGCGGCAUGGGAUGGGGUCGCGUCCUAUCAGCUUGAUGGCGGGGUAACGGCCCACCAUGGCUUCGACGGGUAGCCGGCCUGAGAGGGCGACCGGCCACAUUGGGACUGAGAUACGGCCCAGACUCCUACGGGAGGCAGCAGUGGGGAAUAUUGCACAAUGGGCGCAAGCCUGAUGCAGCGACGCCGCGUGAGGGAUGGAGGCCUUCGGGUUGUAAACCUCUUUUGUUAGGGAGCAAGGCACUUUGUGUUGAGUGUACCUUUCGAAUAAGCACCGGCUAACUACGUGCCAGCAGCCGCGGUAAUACGUAGGGUGCAAGCGUUAUCCGGAAUUAUUGGGCGUAAAGGGCUCGUAGGCGGUUCGUCGCGUCCGGUGUGAAAGUCCAUCGCUUAACGGUGGAUCCGCGCCGGGUACGGGCGGGCUUGAGUGCGGUAGGGGAGACUGGAAUUCCCGGUGUAACGGUGGAAUGUGUAGAUAUCGGGAAGAACACCAAUGGCGAAGGCAGGUCUCUGGGCCGUUACUGACGCUGAGGAGCGAAAGCGUGGGGAGCGAACAGGAUUAGAUACCCUGGCAGUCCACGCCGUAAACGGUGGAUGCUGGAUGUGGGGCCCGUUCCACGGGUUCCGUGUCGGAGCUAACGCGUUAAGCAUCCCGCCUGGGGAGUACGGCCGCAAGGCUAAAACUCAAGAAAUUGACAGGGGCCCGCACAAGCGGCGAGCAUGCGGAUUAAUUCGAUGCAACGCGAAAAACCUUACCUGGGCUUGACAUGUUCCCGACGAUCCAAUAGAUGGGCGUUCCCUUCUGUGCGGGUCACAUGUGGUUCAUGUACAUCCCUCAGCUCGUGUCAUGAGAUGUGGGUUAGUCCCGCAACGGCGCAACCUCUCCCGUGUUGCCACCGCAUUGUGACUGGCAACUCAUGGAG